rnacentral:rRNA from 1 species
AGAUUGAACGCUGGCGGCAGGCCUAACACAUGCAAGUCGAGCGGUAGAGAGGUGCUUGCACCUCUUGAGAGCGGCGGACGGGUGAGUAAUGCCUAGGAAUCUGCCUAGUGGUGGGGGAUAACGUUCGGAAACGGACGCUAACACCGCAUACGUCCUACGGGAGAAAGCGGGGGACCUUCGGGCCUCGCGCCAUUAGAUGAGCCUAGGUCGGAUUAGCUAGUUGGUGAGGUAAUGGCUCACCAAGGCGACGAUCCGUAACUGGUCUGAGAGGAUGAUCAGUCACACUGGAACUGAGAUACGGUCCAGACUCCUACGGGAGGCAGCAGUGGGGAAUAUUGGACAAGUGGGCGAAAGCCUGAUCCAGCCAUGCCGCGUGUGUGAAGAAGGUCUCGGAUGUAAAGCAACUUUAGUUAGGGAGGAAGGUUGUAAUUAAUAGUUGACUAACUUCGACGUUACCGAACAGAAUAAGCGAACCGGCUAACCUUACGCGACCGAGACAGCCCG